rnacentral:tRNA from 1 species
GGCUUUGUGGUGUAACGGUAGCACACUCGACGCGUAUUCGAGAGGUCCAGGUUCGAGUCCCAGCGAGGACA